AUUGAACGCUGGCGGCAUGCCUUACACAUGCAAGUCGAACGAACAUAGUAAUAUGUUAGUGGCGAACGGGUGAGUAACACGUAAGUAACCAACCUUCAAGACGAGGAUAACCACUGGAAACGGUAGCUAAAACUGGAUAGGAUAUCUGAUCAAAAGAUGAGAUAUUUAAAAGCGCUGAAAGGCGCUACUUGAAGCUGGGCUUGCGGCGCAUUAGAUAGUUGGUGAGGUAACGGCCCACCAAGUCAACGAUGCGUAGCAGCGCUGAGAGGCGGAACUGCCACACUGGGACUGAGACACGGCCCAGACUCCUACGGGAGGCAG
rnacentral:rRNA from 1 species